rnacentral:rRNA from 1 species
GACGAACGCUGGCGGCGUGCUUAACACAUGCAAGUCGAACGGAAAGGCCCUGCUUUUGUGGGGUGCUCGAGUGGCGAACGGGUGAGUAACACGUGAGUAACCUGCCCUUGACUUUGGGAUAACUUCAGGAAACUGGGGCUAAUACCGGAUAGGAGCUCCUGCUGCAUGGUGGGGGUUGGAAAGUUUCGGCGGUUGGGGAUGGACUCGCGGCUUAUCAGCUUGUUGGUGGGGUAGUGGCUUACCAAGGCCUUGACGGGUAGCCGGCCUGAGAGGGUGACCGGCCACAUUGGGACUGAGAGACGGCCCAGACUCCUACGGGAGGCAGCAGUGGGGAAUAUUGCACAAUGGGCGGAAGCCUGAUGCAGCAACGCCGCGUGCGGGAUGACGGCCUUCGGGUUGUAAACCGCUUUCGCCUGUGACGAAGCGUGAGUGACGGUAAUGGGUAAAGAAGCACCGGCUAACUACGUG